CAUGGUUAGUUCUGAAGUAGUCAUAUGCUAUUCUCAAAUAUUAAGCCAUGCAUGUGUAAGUAUGAACAAAUUCAGACUGGGAAACUGCGAAUGGCUCAUUAAAUUAGUUAUAGUUUGUUUGAUGGUAUCUAUUACUUGGAUAACCGUAGUAAUUCUAGAGCUAAUACAUGCAACAAACCUAAAAUUCUAGAAUGGAUGUAUUUAUUAGAUAAAAGAUUGACGUUGGCUCUACCCGUUGCUAUAAUGAUUCAUGAUAACUUGACAGAUCGAACGAUCAUAAUACCAGGGACACAUCAUUCAAAUUUCUUCCCUAAUAAUUUUCGAUGGUAGGACAGUGGCCUACCAUGGUGGUGACCGAUGAUGGAGAAUUAGGGUUUGAUUCUGGAGAGGGAACCUAAGAAAAGGUUACCACAUCCAAGGAAGGUAGCAGGCACUUAAAUUACCUAAUCCUGACAUAGAAAGGUAGUGAUAAUAAAAUACAAUACUGGGCUCAAUGAGUCUGGUAAUUGGAAUGAGUACAAUCUAAAUCCCUUAACUAGAAUACAUUGGAGGGCAAUUCUGGUGCCAAUAACCGUGGUAUUUCUAUCUCCUAUAGUGUAUAUUUAAGUUGUUGCUAUUAAAAAGCUCACAGUUGGACUUUGGGAUGGGCUAGCUAGUCUGUUUAUGGUGUGCACCGGUUGUCUCAUCCAUUCUGUCGGUGAUGCUCUCCUGGACUUAACUGUUCGGGUCAUGCUUGUGACGCUGUUACUUUGAAUAAAUUAGAGUGCUCAAAGCAAGCCUACGUUCUAUAUACAUUAGCAUGAGAUAACAUUUUAGGAUUUUGGUCCUAUUUACAUUGGGCUUUGGGAUCGGGGUAAUGAUUAAUUGGGACAGUCGAGGGCUUUUGUAUUUCAUAAUCAGAGGUGAAAUUCUUGUAUUAAUGAAAGAUGAACAGCUGUAAAAGAAUUUCCAAGGAUGUUUUCAUUAAUCAAGAAUGAAAGUUGGUGGCUAAAAAACAAUCAAAUAUCGUACUAGUCUCAACCAUAAAUGAUGCCGACUAGGGAUCGGUGGAUGUUUCUUUUAGGACUCCUUCGGCAUCUUAUGAGAAAUCAAAGUAUUUAGGUUUCGGGGGGAGUAUUGUGUCAAGGCUAAAACUUAAAGGAAUUGAUAGAAGGUCACCACCAAGAGUGGAUCCUGCUGCUUAAUUUGAAUCAACACGGGGAAACUUACCAGGUCCAUACAUAGUAAGGAUCGAAAGACUGAGAGCUCUUUCUAGAUUCUAUGGUGGUGGUGUGUGGUCGUUUUUAUUUGGUGGAGUAAUUUUUCUGGUUAAUUCCAUUAACGAACGAGAAGUCAGACCGCUAACUAGGUAUGCGGAGGUAACCUUUUGCAUCUAGAUUCUUAGAAGGACUACGGCCUUUUAGGCCGUGGAAGUUUGAGGCAAUAACAGGUCUGUGAUGCCUUUAUAUUUUUUGGGCCGCACGCGUGCUACACUGAUGUAUUCAAUGAUUUUAUAGCAUUGGCCGAUAGGCCCGAUUUAUCUUUGAAAUUUCAUUGUGAUGGGGAUAGAUCAUUACAAUUGUUAGUCUUCAAUGAAGAACUCGUAGUAAGCGCGAGUCAUCAGCUCGUGUUGACUGCGUCCCUGCCCUUUUAACACACCACCUGUCACUCCUACCGAUUGAAUGUUCCAGUGAAAUAUUUGGAUCAUGGUGACGUGGGCGGUUCGCUGCCUGUGACAUCGCGAGAAGUCCAUUGAACCUUAUCAUUUAGAGGAAGGAGAAAUCCUAACAAGGAUUCUGUAGGUUAACUUGCAACAG
rnacentral:rRNA from 1 species